rnacentral:rRNA from 1 species
AUACAGAGGGUGCGAGCGUUAAUCGGAUUUACUGGGCGUAAAGCGCGCGUAGGCGGCCAGAUAAGUCGGAUGUGAAAGCCCCGGGCUCAACCUGGGAAUUGCAUUCGAUACUGUCUGGCUAGAGUAUGGUAGAGGGAAGUGGAAUUCCACAUGUAGCGGUGAAAUGCGUAGAUAUGUGGAGGAACACCAGUGGCGAAGGCGGCUUCCUGGCCCAAUACUGACGCUGAGGCGCGAAAGCGUGGGGAGCAAACAGGAUUAGAAACCCCAGUAGUCC